rnacentral:rRNA from 1 species
GAUGAACGCUGGCGGCGUGCCUAAUACAUGCAAGUCGAGCGAACAGACGAGGAGCUUGCUCCUUCGACGGUAGCGGCGGACGGGAGAGUAACACGUAGGUAACCUAACUAUAAGACUGGGGUAACUUCGGGAAACCGGAGCUAAUACCGGAAAAUAUUUCGAACCGCAUGGUUCGAUAGUGAAAGAUGGCUGUGCUAUCACUUAUAGAUGGACCAGCGUCGGAUUAGCUAGUUGGUAAGGUAACGGCUUAGCAAGGCAACGAUACGUAGACGACCUGAGAGGGUGGUCCGCCACACGGUAACUGAGACACGGCCGACACUCCUAGGGUAGGCAGCAGUAGAGAAUCUUCCGCGAUGGAGGAAAGCCUGACGGAGCAAAGCCGCGGGAAUGCUGAAGGUCUUAUGCUCGUAAAACUCUGUUAUUAGUGAAGAACAAAAGUGUUAGUACCUGUGCACGUCUUGACGGUACCUAAUCAGAAAGCCACGGCUAACUCCGUG